UGAGGAGCUCGGACUUUAAGACGCUAGCUAGCCUGCCGGUGCUCCCAGCUGAUUAAAGCCACUUCCUUCACUAUCUCGGUGUCUGAGGGGUUUUGUCCACGGCUCGUCCUGCUACAUCAGCAGAAGCAUAAUUUGUCAAAAGCUGAAACAGACCAAAUGUAGGAUGUGAUUUUUAAGAAGCUUUCCGAGAUUCCCUGCAGCGUUGGAUUCAAAUACUGGUUCUACGACACAUUAAGAAUUACCAGCAGUGCUUAUAAUCCCUGUGAAACAUGGCUUGCCAUAAAGUCUUCUGGUGGUGGUGCAGUACCUUCUUUGGGACUUACCCUCCUACCAACUACAGUGGUAUAUUCUGGACAAAACGUAGAAAGCAAAUGUUUAAAAUAAUUGGAGAGUGAUCAAAAGGAGGUAGAAUCGGGAAGGCA